GAGGUGGGAGGAUUGCUUGAGCCCAGGAGGCGGAGGCUGUAGUGAGCCGAGAUCAUACCACUGCACUCCAGCCUGAGUGACAGAACAAGACCCUGUCUC
rnacentral:miRNA from 1 species